UACAGAGGUCUCAAGCGUUGUUCGGAUUCAUUGGGCGUAAAGGGUGCGUAGGUGGCGAGGUUAGUCAGGUGUGAAAUCUCGGGGCUCAACCCCGAAACUGCACUUGAUACUGCCUUGCUAGAGUACUGGAGAGGAGAUUGGAAUUUACGGUGUAGCAGUGAAAUGCGUAGAUAUCGUAAGGAAGACCAGUGGCGAAGGCGAAUCUCUGGACGGUUACUGACACUGAGGCACGAAGGCCAGGGGAGCAAACGGG
rnacentral:rRNA from 1 species